rnacentral:lncRNA from 1 species
AGGGUUUGAUUUAGGAUUAGGAUUUAGUUAAGAUUUGAUUUAGGAUUUAUGAUUUGAUUUAGGGUUUAAGGUUUUGUUAAGAUUUGGUUUAGGAUUUAGGAUUUAGAGUUAAGAUUUAGUUAGGAUUUGAUUUAGGAUUAGAGUUUGGUUUAGGAUUUAGGAUUUGAUUAGGAUUUAUUUUAGGAUUUAGGGUUUAAGAUUUGGUAUAGGAUUUAGAAUUUGGUUAGGGUUUGAUUAAGAUUUGGUUUAGAGUUUAGGAUUUAAGAUUUGAUUUAGGAUUUAGGAUUUUAUUAGGAUUUAUUUAAGAUUUAAGAUUUAAUUAUUUUUUGGCCUAAAAUUUGAAUAAAGUCCAAUAGGAUUUUAAUUAGGAUUAAAAUAAGAUUGAGUUGAGAUGUAUUUGAGAUAUAUUUGUGAUCAUUCUAAUUUUUCUUUAAUAUUUCUUAUUGUUUCUUUGUAAUUCCUUUUAGGUUUCUUUGAAUUUGAUUAAAGCUUACUUGAUAUUUUUAUAGUCUAAUUAGAGUUUAGUUAGUAUUAUAUUAGAGUUAGGAUUUUUUUGUUGCAAUUUUCAUUCUA